AGGGCAAGUCUGGUGCCAGCAGCCGCGGUAAUUCCAGCUCCAAUAGCGUAUAUUAAAGUUGUUGCAGUUAAAAAGCUCGUAGUUGAAUUUCGGGGUUCUACCGUUGGUCGGGCUAUUGUCUGUACUGGCGUGUAGAAUUUCUACCUUCUGGAGAACUAUCAUGUUAUUAAUUUAGCGUGGUAGGAAGCCAGGACCUUUACCUUGAAAAAAUUAGAGUGUUCAAAGCAGGCUUAUGUCUGAAUACAUUAGCAUGGAAUAAUAAAAUAGGACGGUGGUCCUGUUUUGUUGGUUUCUGAAUCACCGUAAUGAUUAAUAGGGAUAGUUGGGGGCAUUAGUAUUCAAUUGUCAGAGGUGAAAUUCUUGGAUUUAUUGAAGACUAACUACUGCGAAAGCAUUUGCCAAGGAUGUUUUCAUUAAUCAAGAACGAAAGUUAGGGGAUCGAAGACGAUCAGAUACCGUCGUAGUCUUAACCAUAAACUAUGCCGACUAGGGAUCGGACGAUGUUAACUUUUCUUGACUCGUUCGGCGCCUUACGGGAA
rnacentral:rRNA from 1 species